CCAGGGUCUGCGCAGACGGUCGAAGAGCGAUCUAUUAACACUGUGUGAAGUGGAAGUGUUUUGGCGAGAACAUAAGAAGUGUUUCAGCACCGAUCUUCACCGUUUGGAGGGAACCAGGUACGUCGGUGAUGUUGUCCCAGUUGAUGUCGCAUCUGCAGCUGAAUGCAGCACCUACUGCAUGUACAACAUAGCCUGCGUCGGCUUCAACUACAACUACGACACGCGAGACUGUGAGCUUAGGCUGGGAUCUGCCGAUGCAACAAGUGAUAAUGACUGGUCCUAUUUCUUCCAAAACCCUUGUCUGUGAAAGACAGAUUGGUGUGAUCCAGACUACGAAAACACUUAAUUUGAUGUAAUAAAAUCAUUGUGUAUAA